rnacentral:rRNA from 1 species
CAGUAGCCGCGGUAAUACGUAGGUCCCGAGCGUUGUCCGGAUUUAUUGGGCGUAAAGCGAGCGCAGGCGGUUAGAUAAGUCUGAAGUGAAAGGCAGUGGCUCAACCAUUGUAGGCUUUGGAAACUGUUUAACUUGAGUGCAGAAGGGGAGAGUGGAAUUCCAUGUGUAGCGGUGAAAUGCGUAGAGAUGUGGAGGAACACCAGUGGCGAAGGCGACUCUCUGGUCUGUAACUGACGCUGAGGAGCGAAAGCGUGGGGAGCGAACAGGAUUAGAUACCCCGGUAGUCCCUGUCUCUUAUACC